AUACCCUGGUAAGUCCACGCCGUAAACGUUGGGAACUAGAUGUGGGGAUUAUUCAACGAUCUCCGUGUCGCAGCUAACGCAUUAAGUUCCCCGCCUGGGGAGUACGGCCGCAAGGCUAAAACUCAAAGGAAUUGACGGGGGCCCGCACAAGCGGCGGAGCAUGCGGAUUAAUUCGAUGCAACGCGAAGAACCUUACCAAGGCUUGACAUAUACCGGAAAAGCGUAGAAAUACGCUCCCCGCAAGGUCGGUAUACAGGUGGUGCAUGGUUGUCGUCAGCUCGUGUCGUGAGAUGUUGGGUUAAGUCCCGCAACGAGCGCAACCCUCGUUCUAUGUUGCCAGCACGUAAUGGUGGGAACUCAUGGAAGACUGCCGGGGUCAACUCGGAGGAAGGUGGGGAUGACGUCAAAUCAUCAUGCCCCUUAUGUCUUGGGCUUCACGCAUGCUACAAUGGCCGGUACAAAGGGCUGCAAUACCGCAAGGUGGAGCGAAUCCCAAAAAGCCGGUCUCAGUUCGGAUUGAGGUCUGCAACUCGACCUCAUGAAGUCGGAGUCGCUAGUAAUCGCAGAUCAGCAACGCUGCGGUGAAUACGUUCCCGGGCCUUGUACACACCGCCCGUCAAGUCACGAAAGUCG
rnacentral:rRNA from 1 species